AUUUGGAAUGUUGGUGGCUAGAGGUAAGUUGGUGGUUUGGAUUAGUGAAUUUUGUGUUUUCAAAGACUGAUUCUAUUCCCUUCCAAAUGAGUUUUAAUGAAAUUUUGCUUGAGGACAAGCAAGAGUUUGAGUAUGGGGGAAUUUGAUGCAUGCAUUUUAUAUCAUCAUUUAGGAGUUAAAUCUGGAGAAAUUUGAUGUAUUUUGAUCAGAGUAGCCAUUUGGAGGAGAUUAAAAUCGAAUUGCAAAAAAAUUUUGAAGUUGAGAAAAAAAAAUGGCCGAGAGCGACACAACCCGCGACACAACUGACUCGGCUUAUGUCGUUUUUACUGGAAAAUUUUUUGACGUGGCAUUUCCGUUACUCCAGCCUUUUUACCUCACUUUUUCUAGAUCCUUCCCCCUUUUACCCAUUCUAGAACAA